CUUCCGUAGUUAGUGAAAAGAUCGCGAAAGUGCAAGUCGGAAUUUGCAAGCCCGAGUGUGAUUUAAUUGAAAAAAAGAGAUAUAAAGCAUAUAAAAAACAGAUGCCAAACAUUGUACAGAAAUAGAUUUACGUGUGAUGGGACUACGAAAAAAGUUUAUUCGGUUUAAAGAACAUGCGCCGCACAAAUCGAGCCGUGAAGUAGUAUAUGAUCUCAGUGAAGCUCAAAGCACUGCAGCCCAGAAAGAAGCCCACCAGGCCGCC
rnacentral:sRNA from 15 species